ACAGGGGAUGCAAGUGUUAUCCGGAAUUAUUGGGCGUAAAGCGUCUGCAGGUGGAUAUUUAAGUCCUUUGUUAAAUCUCUGAGCUUAACUCAGAAUCUGCAAAAGAAACUAUUUAUCUUGAGUAUGGUAGAGGUAAGGGGAAUUUCCAGUGGAGCGGUGAAAUGCGUAGAUAUUGGAAAGAACACCGAUAGCGAAAGCACCUUACUGGGCCAGUACUGACACUCAGAGACGAAAGCUAGGGGAGCAAACAGGAUUAGAUACCCUGGUAGUCCUAGCUGUAAACGAUGGAUACUAGAUGUUGUGUACUUUUAAGUAGGCAGUGUCGUAGCUAACGCAUUAAGUAUCCCGCCUGGGAAGUAUGCUCGCAAGAGUG
rnacentral:rRNA from 1 species